UUGAUGGCAACUGAGACGAAAAAAAUUGAUGGAUCGAUAAAACUGAUUAAACUUCAACGUAAUAAAAUGAAAAUUACCCUAAAAAUAAGACAAAGAAACCUACCCGCCACAGACGUCUGGUGCAUAUACCGACUAAAACCCUCCUGUGAAAGCUAAAACGACAUCGGCACGAUCUUCACAACCAGCCCAUUCCCAGUAUUGGGUUUUCUGCAGAAACAAAAACAAAAAAUGGGUAACAACAAGCGGUUCAAGAACCACAAGCCCCAUCGUGGACAAUCUAGUCGGACCAAUAACCAUCUUCCACGUGAAGGUGAUUCCCUACCAUCUGAUCAAGCUACGGAAGAGGAGCCAACGGGUCCCAAAAUCCAGCUUGCAAUGUGGGUAUGCAUUUCUUUUCUUGUUGAUU